rnacentral:rRNA from 1 species
UACAGAGGGGGCAAGCGUUAUUCGGAAUUAUUGGGCGUAAAGGGCGCGUAGGCGCCUGGCAAGUGGAUGGUGAAAUCCCUCGGCUUAACCGAGGAACUGCCAUCCAGACUGCUUGGCUUGAGACCGGGAGAGGUGAGUGGAAUUCCCAGUGUAGCGGUGAAAUGCGUAGAUAUUGGGAGGAACACCAGUGGCGAAGGCGGCUCACUGGACCGGUACUGACGCUGAUGCGCGAAAGCGUGGGGAGCAACGGG